rnacentral:rRNA from 1 species
UACGUAGGGAGCAAGCGUUGUCCGGAAUCAUUGGGCGUAAAGCGCGCGUAGGCGGCCUCAUAAGUCCGUUGUGAAAGUCAAAGGCUCAACCUUUGAAAGCCGAUGGAUACUGCAGAGCUAGAGUCCGGAAGAGGCGAGUGGAAUUCCUGGUGUAGCGGUGGAAUGCGCAGAUAUCAGGAGGAACACCAAUAGCGAAGGCAGCUCGCUGGGACGGUACUGACGCUAAGGCGCGAAAGCGUGGGGAGCGAACAGG